AACUUUUCAAAUCCGUGCUGAGGUUUCGUCAGACACCAACCCAUUAAGGCUGAUCAGUCUUCCAAGAUAAGUGAAGUU
rfam:Schistosoma margrebowiei strain Zambia genome assembly, scaffold: SMRZ_scaffold0002180